UGGGAGAUGUACAUAUUUUUGUUACAACUGUUGCAAGUUGUGUCAGCAGCAUCUUCAGAUUGUGCAUCCUGACGCGACCACUUCUGGGCUAACACAGUGAGGACACGUCCAUUUACGAUUAGGCUUUUAUCGAUUUCCAAUUCUGCAAGACCUUUUAUAAAUAUGCAUAAUCCAGUCGAUGCGGGAAUACCUGGAUGAUAGUCAUGAAUAUUAAGCCUAUAGUCAUGACUAUCAGGGCUAUAGUCAUGACUAUUAAGACUAUAGUCAUGGCUAUAAGGCUAUAGUCAUGACUAUUAAAAC